UAACAGCUCAAAUUUGAAAUCUGGCUCCUUUGGAGUCCGAGUUGUAAUUUGUAGAAGAUGCUUUGGGUUAUGGGUUCGGCCUAAGUUCCUUGGAACAGGACGUCAUAGAGGGUGAGAAUCCCGUAUGUGGCCGAGGCCCGCGCCUGUGUAAAGCUCUUUCAACGAGUCGAGUUGUUUGGGAAUGCAGCUCAAAAUGGGUGGUAAAUUUCAUCUAAAGCUAAAUAUGGGCCAGAGACCGAUAGCGCACAAGUAGAGUGAUCGAAAGAUGAAAAGCACUUUGGAAAGAGAGUUAAACAGUACGUGAAAUUGUUGAAAGGGAAGCGCUUGCACCCAGACUUGGGCGCUGCUGAUCACCUUGCGUUCUCCGCGAGUGCACUCGACAGCGCACAGGCCAGCAUCGGUUCGGGUGGCUGGAUAAAGGCCGUAGGAACGUANCUCUCUUCGGGGAGUGUUAUAGCCUACGGUGCCAUGCAGCCCAGCCGGACCGAGGACCGCGCCUUCGGGCUAGGAUGCUGGCGUAAUGGGUGUAAGCGACCCGUCUUGAAACACGGACCAAGGAGUCUAACAUCUAUGCGAGUGUUUGGGUGGGAAACCCAUACGCGGAAUGAAAGUGAACGUAGGUGAGAACCCCUUUGGGGCGCAUCAUCGACCGAUCCUGAUGUCUU
rnacentral:rRNA from 1 species